rnacentral:snRNA from 1 species
CAGUUCAGAGAAGAUUAGCAUGGCCCCUGUACAAGGAUGGCAUGCAACUUCAUGAAGCAGUCCAUAUUUUC